rnacentral:rRNA from 1 species
GAUGAACGCUGACAGAAUGCUUAACACAUGCAAGUCGACUGGUAAUUUUCUUCGGAGUUAGUACGGUGGCGGACGGGUGAGUAACGCGUAAAGAAUUUGCCCUCUAGACUGGGACAACUAACCGAAAGGUUAGCUAAUACCGGAUAUUAUGAGACCUUGGCAUCAAGGACUUAUGAAAGCUAUAUGCGCUAGAGGAGAACUUUGCGUCCCAUUAGCUAGUUGGUAGGGUAAUGGCCUACCAAGGCAACGAUGGGUAGCCGGCCUGAGAGGGUGAACGGCCACAAGGGGACUGAGACACGGCCCUU